GGAGGAAAGCAGGGGAUCGCAAGACCUUGCGCUUUUGGAGCGGCCGAUGCCUGAUUAGCUUGUUGGUGAGGUAAAAGCUCACCAAGGCUCCGAUCAGUAGCUGGUCUGAGAGGACGACCAGCCACACUGGGACUGAGACACGGCCCAGACUCCUACGGGAGGCAGCAGUGGGGAAUUUUGGACAAUGGGGGCAACCCUGAUCCAGCCAUGCCGCGUGAGUGAAGAAGGCCUUCGGGUUGUAAAGCUCUUUCAGCCGGAACGAAACGGUCACGGUCAAUACCCGUGACUACUGACGGUACCGGAAGAAGAAGCACCGGCUAACUACGUGCCAGCAGCCGCGGUAAUACGUAGGGUGCGAGCGUUAAUCGGAAUUACUGGGCGUAAAGCGUGCGCAGGCGGCUUUGUAAGUCAGAUGUGAAAUCCCCGGGCUUAACCUGGGAACUGCGUUUGAAACUACAAAGCUAG
rnacentral:rRNA from 1 species